UGUGUGGCUCAGUGUCCAUUAGGUCAAGUGAGGUUGUUUAGGUUUUACAAGUCCUUGCUUAUCAGCAACCUACUUGUUCUACAAUUACUAGGCGAAGUGUUGAAGCCUCCAGCUGCAAGGAUGGAUUGAUUGAUGUUCUUGCUGUUCUGUCAGGCUUUGCCUCCUGUGUUCUGAAGCUCCGUGACUGACGCAUGCAUUUCUACAGGGAGCUCCUGAGUCAGACGCUGCAUUUGACGGGGACCUCGGGGAGCCAACAUAGCAAGCUGUAGCCCAUGGGCAGUGGCGCCAGGAGAAACCAGCCCAGGCCAGAGGCGCGGCCCUCUUCCGGUUAUCCUGCUGUGUACAUGAACUCCGAGGGACUCGGUCAUACACCCACGAGCAGGUAAGGCUUUCAAUGACAGUUCUAACUUCAAAUAUCCUGUCUAUUGUCAAAUUAUACGUUUUUGCUCUGAAAACAUAGUAACUAUCCAUCUAAUAUAGAGCAAGCCUGUCAAACCCACAGCUCGCAGGCCACAUGCAGCCCACAACGAAUAUUUUUG